CCUGCCUCUGAGUAGCCUCUAAGAUUUCCCCUAUAUGGAAGGUUGAGGUGUAUCUUCCCUAGUUAGAAAAUGUGUGUGUGUAAAAUAUUAGA